rfam:Citreicella sp. 357 C357_142, whole genome shotgun sequence.
CGGCGGGACACCCUUCCCCAACGAAGGGCAUCUAUCUGUAAGGUUAGGCUAC